rnacentral:sRNA from 1 species
UUUUUGUAUUUUUUUU